rnacentral:rRNA from 1 species
AACAACUCACCUGCCGAAUGGAUUAGCCCUGAAAAUGGAUGGCGCUGAAGCGGGCAGCCGAUACCACGCCGUCUGUUUUAGUGAAUGGAACAGAUGAGUAGGAGGGCGUGGAGGUCGUAUCGAAGCAUGCGUGCGAACGUGUGUGGAACGGCCUCUAGUGCAGAUCUUGGUGGUAGUAGCAAAUAUUCAAGCGAGAUCCUUGAAGGGCGAAGCGGGGAAGGGUUCCACGCGAACAUUGAUUGGGCGUGGGUGAGUCGUUCCUAAGCCGCGUGGUAAUAGCUAUCAAACGGCGAAAGGGAAGCGGGUUGAAAUUCCCGCACACGGAUGUGGAGGCGGCGACGCUUUAUUGAGAUGAGCCCGUCGGCGGUUGCACUGGGCAGAGAUGUCUUUUCUGUUUAACCAGCUCGCGCGCUGUGUGGAAUCCGAUUAUCGGGAGAAACACGCGUACCGGGUAAGAGCGCCGGGACUUUUCCGGCGUCCAGCUCGCGACCGACGGCCCUUGAAAACUUAUCUACUGCAAUAAAAUCCACGCCGUGGCGUACCGAUAACCGCAUCAGGUCCCCAAGGUGAACAGCCUCUGCCUAAUAUGAACAAU